UAAGCAGAACCAGGAGAACAAUAUACAUAAUAAUAGCAAUAUUAUAAUGAUAAUCGACUAUGAAAGACCUAGUAACCCAGAUCAAUACAAUGAUCCACUACGAUUCUAAAAGACACAUGAUAUAAAAUGCUGUCCACUACCAGAGAGAGCACUGAUGGACUCAGAGGGCAGACUGAAGCAUAUUUUUUUACUUUCUUUUUCUUUCUUUUUUUUCUCAGAACAUACCUGAUGCACAAAUAUGUUUUGUACAGCUAUAUAUGGAUAAUGAGUAUCACAUUUCUUUCCUUCUCAAUGGGGGAGUAUGGAGGGAAAGAAUAUGGAACUAUAAAUAAAAAAUUAAAUUAAAAAACACAUUCCCAUUGGAGAUUUCACACUCAAUGGGAGAAGACCCAGCAACAUCCCCAGAAGACAGUCAGUGUCUGAGUUUUGAAUUACCUAUUGUUUAUGUAUAAUCUCUACGAUUAUGAAAAAUGGAGAAAUGACUAGAUAAAUCACAGCAUCUCAGAAAAGAAGAGGAACUCAGUAGCCAUCUAUUCCAACCUAUAGGAAUGACAAAUAUGCAGAACUCGGAGAAACUGGGGAAGACUUAUGAAAUGAUGAAGAUUGAAGAAAAUGAAUCCAAAAGAACAAUACACAAUUACUACAACAAUGCAAAUUAAAUGAUGAUCUAUAGGCAACAAAAGUCUACUCAUUUACAAUAAAGUUAGUACCAUAUUGUAAAAGUUAA